UCCUCGAUGGUCUAACGGUCAUGAUUUCCGCUUGUCAUCUACAAAGGAACAAGCGCGGGAGACCUGGGUUCGACUCCCAGUCGGGGAG
rnacentral:tRNA from 1 species